rnacentral:rRNA from 1 species
UAGGGAAUCUUCGGCAAUGGACGAAAGUCUGACCGAGCAACGCCGCGUGAGUGAAGAAGGUUUUCGGAUCGUAAAACUCUGUUGUUAGAGAAGAACAAGGACGUUAGUAACUGAACGUCCCCUGACGGUAUCUAACCAGAAAGCCACGGCUAACUACGUGCCAGCAGCCGCGGUAAUACGUAGGUGGCAAGCGUUGUCCGGAUUUAUUGGGCGUAAAGCGAGCGCAGGUGGUUUCUUAAGUCUGAUGUGAAAGCCACCGGCUCAACCGGGGAGGGUUAUUGGAAACUGGGAGACUUGAGUGCAGAAGAGGAGAGUGGAAUUCCAUGUGUAGCGGUGAAAUGCGUAGAUAUAUGGAGGAACACCAGUGGCGAAGGCGGCUCUAUGGUCUGUAACUGACGCUGAGGCUCGAAAGCGUGGGGAGCAAACAGG